rnacentral:rRNA from 1 species
UACGUAGGCAGCGAGCGUUGUUCGGAAUUACUGGGCGUAAAGAGUGUGUAGGCGGUGCUCUAAGUUCGGUGUGAAAUCUCCUGGCUUAACUGGGAGGGUGCGCCGGAAACUGGAGUGCUCGAGCGUGGGAGAGGAAAGCGGAAUUCCUGGUGUAGCGGUGAAAUGCGUAGAUAUCAGGAGGAACACCUGCGGUGUAGACGGCUUUCUGGACCAUUGCUGACGCUGAGACACGAAAGCGUGGGUAGCAAACAGG